CCUAGUAUUGACCGUACCCUAAACCGACACAGGUGGAUUGGUAGAGUAUACCAAGGCGAUUGAGACAACUGCGUUGAAGGAACUCUGCAAAUUACUCUCGUAACUUCGGGAUAAGAGAGCUUCUGAUUUGGGCAACCAGAUCAGAGGGGCACAGAAAUGGGGGUUGCGACUGUUUACUAAAAACACAGGGCUCUGCGAAGUGGUCAACACGACGUAUAGGGUCUGACGCCUGCCCGGUGCCGGAAGGUUAAGAGGAGAUGUGCAAGCAUUGAAUCGAAGCCCCGGUAAACGGCGGCCGUAACAAUAACGGUCCUAAGGUAGCGAAAUACCUUGUCGGGUAAGUUCCGACCUGCACGAAUGGCGUAACGACUUCCCCGCUGUCUCCAACGCAGACUCAGCGAAAUUGAAAUCUCCGUGAAGAUGCGGAGUUCCCGCGGCUAGACGGAAAGACCCCGUGCACCUUUACUGCAACUUUUCACUGGUACUAGACAAUGGAUGUGUAGAAUAGGUCGGAGACUUUGAAGCCGGGGCGCUAGCCUUGGUGGAGUCACCGUUGAAAUACGACCCUUUCGUUGUCUGGUAUCUAACCGCGUCCCAUUAGCUGGGAUCGGGACACUGAAUGGUGGGCAGUUUGACUGGGGCGGUCGCCUCCGAAAGAGUAACGGAGGCGCGCGAUGGUGGGCUCAAGCCGGUCGGAAAUCGGCUGUUGAGUGCAAGAGCAUAAGCCCGCCUGACUGCGAGACUGACAAGUCGAGCAGAGACGAAAGUCGGUUCUAGUGAUCCGGUGGUUCUGAAUGGAAGGGCCAUCGCUCAACGGAUAAAAGGUACGCCGGGGAUAACAGGCUGAUACCCCCCAAGAGUCCACAUCGACGGGGGUGUUUGGCACCUCGAUGUCGGCUCAUCACAUCCUGGGGCUGGAGCAGGUCCCAAGGGUAUGGCUGUUCGCCAUUUAAAGUGGUACGUGAGCUGGGUUUAGAACGUCGUGAGACAGUUCGGUCCCUAUCUACCGUGGGUGUUGGAAACUUGAGAGGAUUUGUCCCUAGUACGAGAGGACCGGGAUGAACGCACCUCUGGCGUACCAGUUGUUCUGCCAAGAGCAUCGCUGGGUAGCUAUGUGCGGACGGGAUAACCGCUGAAUGCAUCUAAGCGGGAAACCCACCUCAAAACCAGGUUUCCCUUGAGAACCGUGAUAGACUAUCACGUUGAUAGGCUGGGUGUGGAAGCGCCGCGAGGCGUGAAGCUAACCAGUACUAAUUGUUC
rnacentral:rRNA from 1 species